UCCAGACUCCUACGGGAGGCAGCAGUGAGGAAUAUUGGUCAAUGGGCGGAAGCCUGAACCAGCCAAGUCGCGUGAGGGAAGAAGGCCCUGCGGGUCGCAGACCCCUUUGGACGGGGAGCAAGGCCGCCGACGUGUCGGCGGAAGGAGAGUACCCGUAGAACAAGCAUCGGCUAACUCCGUGCCAGCAGCCGCGGUAAUACGGAGGAUGCGAGCGUUAUCCGGAUUUACUGGGUGUAAAGGGAGCGUAGGCGGCCUGGCAAGCCUGAUGUGAAAUACCGGGGCCCAACCCCGGGGCUGCAUUGGGAACUGCCUGGCUGGAGUGCCGGAGAGGCAGGCGGAAUUCCUAGUGUAGCGGUGAAAUGCGUAGAUAUUAGGAGGAACACCAGUGGCGAAGGCGGCCUGCUGGACGGUGACUGACGCUGAGGCUCGAAAGCGUGGGGAGCAAACAGGAUUAGAUACCCCGGUAU
rnacentral:rRNA from 1 species